rnacentral:rRNA from 1 species
UACGAAGGGGGCUAGCGUUGCUCGGAAUUACUGGGCGUAAAGCGCACGUAGGCGGUCUUUUAAGUCGGGGGUGAAAUCCUGGAGCUCAACUCCAGAACUGCCUUCGAUACUGGAAGACUUGAGUCCGGGAGAGGUGAGUGGAGCUGCGAGUGUAGAGGUGAAAUUCGUAGAUAUUCGCAAGAACACCAGUGGCGAAGGCGGCUCACUGGCCCGAUACUGACGCUGAGGCACGAAAGCGUGGGGAGCAAACAGG